AAUUACUGUUGGGAAGUAACUAUGGCAUUAAGGUCUUCCAAGAAGCAGAUGCCAAGAUGGGCUCAAAUGUGCAAGAUAUUUAUGGAAAACCACCUAUGAAGGACAAAGGAACAGAGAACAAGAGCCUUCCCCCAUGUCUAAUACCUGUGAAAGGAGAGAGAGAAGGAAGAAUUUAGUAGGAAGAGCCUGAGGUUGCUGCUUAGUUCUGAGAAAGCCUCAGCGAGGCCGAUGGAGAGCCCUUGAGCUGAGGUUGCCCAUUAGACAAAUUCUGCAUCAGGUGCUGAUCAGAAACCCACAAAUAUCUGCCAGGCUGGCAACAGACCCUAAAGAGAGAGAUUAACAAAAAACAGUUGAGGAGCAAGCUAAAUUCCUACAGGCAAUAGUGGGACCAGAGCUCAUAGGCUGGCACCAAUAGUACAGUUUGGUCCCAAGGAGAAGCAGCAAGGCCAUGCAGGGAAUCACAUAAACAGGUCAGAUUUGUUUGAAGCAGUUUGACAGAGGAACAGACUAUAAAUUGUGGAAACCUGCCCACCUUUGUUUAUUCUUUGGCUGUGGAGGAACCAAGGAUAAAUAACUUGUAUACAAGCUCCUGGGAAUAAAGAAAAUUCUAACUA
rnacentral:lncRNA from 1 species